UUUAGCAAAAAAGAAUAUAUGUUAGCAUUUAACACGUCAGCGUUAUAUUAUUAUCAUUUCUACAGUAAUAAGUGUGAUAACAAGUGAUCGUUCGAUGUUAAAUACCUAUCGUAACGAUCGUACGUUUUGCUCGGCCAAAAUAAUAUUCACGAUGUUGCGAUCCUUCGAAAUAAUGGCGACGAUCCGACACAAUCGAUGUUCCAAGAAAUCGAGGAAACUAAAGAUUUACGAAUGACUGCGCCGUGUAUCGUCGAUAUUUCGAUUUAAAAAAAAGAUAAAAUAAAAUAAAACAAAACGUAUGAAAGCAAAACAAAAACGAGACAAAAUUGCGACAUAACAGAAAA